rnacentral:rRNA from 1 species
UAAGUUAGAAAGGGCGCACGGUGGAUGCCUUGACACUAGGAGUCGAUGAAGGACGGGACUAACGCCGAUAUGCUUCGGGGAGCUGUAAGUAAGCUUUGAUCCGAAGAUUUCCGAAUGGGGAAACCCACCAUACGUAAUGGUAUGGUAUCCUUAUCUGAAUACAUAGGGUAAGGAAGACAGACCCAGGGAACUGAAACAUCUAAGUACCUGGAGGAAGAGAAAGCAAAUGCGAUUUCCUGAGUAGCGGCGAGCGAAACGGAACAUAGCCCAAACCAAGAGGCUUGCCUCUUGGGGUUGUAGGACAUUCUAUACGGAGUUACAAAGGAACGAGGUAGACGAAGCGACCUGGAAAGGUCCGUCGUAGAGGGUAACAACCCCGUAGUCGAAACUUCGUUCUCUCUUGAAUGUAUCCUGAGUACGGCGGAACACGUGAAAUUCCGUCGGAAUCUGGGAGGACCAUCUCCCAAGGCUAAAUACUCCCUAGUGAUCGAUAGUGAACCAGUACCGUGAGGGAAAGGUGAAAAGCACCCCGGAAGGGGAGUGAAAGAGAUCCUGAAACCGUGUGCCUACAAAUAGUCAGAGCCCGUUAAUGGGUGAUGGCGUGCCUUUUGUAGAAUGAACCGGCGAGUUACGAUCCCGUGCGAGGUUAAGCUGAAGAGGCGGAGCCGCAGCGAAAGCGAGUCUGAAUAGGGCGUUUAGUACGUGGUCGUAGACCCGAAACCAGGUGAUCUACCCAUGUCCAGGGUGAAGUUCAGGUAACACUGAAUGGAGGCCCGAACCCACGCACGUUGAAAAGUGCGGGGAUGAGGUGUGGGUAGCGGAGAAAUUCCAAUCGAACCUGGAGAUAGCUGGUUCUCCCCGAAAUAGCUUUAGGGCUAGCCUUAAGUGUAAGAGUCUUGGAGGUAGAGCACUGAUUGGACUAGGGGUCCUCAUCGGAUUACCGAAUUCAGUCAAACUCCGAAUGCCAAUGACUUAUCCUUAGGAGUCAGACUGCGAGUGAUAAGAUCCGUAGUCAAAAGGGAAACAGCCCAGACCGCCAGCUAAGGUCCCAAAGUGUGUAUUAAGUGGAAAAGGAUGUGGAGUUGCUUAGACAACUAGGAUGUUGGCUUAGAAGCAGCCACCAUUUAAAGAGUGCGUAAUAGCUCACUAGUCGAGUGACUCUGCGCCGAAAAUGUACCGGGGCUAAAUACACCACCGAAGCUGCGGAUUGAUACCAAUGGUAUCAGUGGUAGGGGAGCGUUCUAAGGACAGUGAAGUCAGACCGGAAGGACUGGUGGAGUGCUUAGAAGUGAGAAUGCCGGUAUGAGUAGCGAAAGACGGGUGAGAAUCCCGUCCACCGAAUGCCUAAGGUUUCCUGAGGAAGGCUCGUCCGCUCAGGGUUAGUCAGGACCUAAGCCGAGGCCGACAGGCGUAGGCGAUGGACAACAGGUUGAUAUUCCUGUACCACCUCUUUAUCGUUUGAGCAAUGGAGGGACGCAGAAGGAUAGAAGAAGCGUGCGAUUGGUUGUGCACGUCCAAGCAGUUAGGCUGAUAAGUAGGCAAAUCCGCUUAUCGUGAAGGCUGAGCUGUGAUGGGGAAGCUCCUUAUGGAGCGAAGUCUUUGAUUCCCCGCUGCCAAGAAAAGCUUCUAGCGAGAUAAAAGGUGCCUGUACCGCAAACCGACACAGGUAGGCGAGGAGAGAAUCCUAAGGUGUGCGAGAGAACUCUGGUUAAGGAACUCGGCAAAAUGACCCCGUAACUUCGGGAGAAGGGGUGCUUUCUUAACGGAAAGCCGCAGUGAAUAGGCCCAAGCGACUGUUUAGCAAAAACACAGCUCUCUGCGAAGCCGUAAGGCGAAGUAUAGGGGGUGACACCUGCCCGGUGCUGGAAGGUUAAGGAGAGGGGUUAGCGUAAGCGAAGCUCUGAACUGAAGCCCCAGUAAACGGCGGCCGUAACUAUAACGGUCCUAAGGUAGCGAAAUUCCUUGUCGGGUAAGUUCCGACCCGCACGAAAGGUGUAACGAUUUGGGCACUGUCUCAACCAGAGACUCGGUGAAAUUAUAGUACCUGUGAAGAUGCAGGUUACCCGCGACAGGACGGAAAGACCCCGUGGAGCUUUACUGUAGCCUGAUAUUGAAUUUUGGUACAGUUUGUACAGGAUAGGCGGGAGCCUUUGAAACCGGAGCGCUAGCUUCGGUGGAGGCGCUGGUGGGAUACCGCCCUGACUGUAUUGAAAUUCUAACCUACGGGUCUUAUCGACCCGGGAGACAGUGUCAGGUGGGCAGUUUGACUGGGGCGGUCGCCUCCUAAAGUGUAACGGAGGCGCCCAAAGGUUCCCUCAGAAUGGUUGGAAAUCAUUCGUAGAGUGCAAAGGCAUAAGGGAGCUUGACUGCGAGACCUACAAGUCGAGCAGGGACGAAAGUCGGGCUUAGUGAUCCGGUGGUUCCGCAUGGAAGGGCCAUCGCUCAACGGAUAAAAGCUACCCCGGGGAUAACAGGCUUAUCUCCCCAAGAGUCCACAUCGACGGGGAGGUUUGGCACCUCGAUGUCGGCUCAUCGCAUCCUGGGGCUGUAGUCGGUCCCAAGGGUUGGGCUGUUCGCCCAUUAAAGCGGUACGCGAGCUGGGUUCAGAACGUCGUGAGACAGUUCGGUCCCUAUCCGUCGUGGGCGUAGGAAAUUUGAGAGGAGCUGUCCUUAGUACGAGAGGACCGGGAUGGACGCACCGCUGGUGUACCAGUUGUUCUGCCAAGGGCAUAGCUGGGUAGCUAUGUGCGGAAGGGAUAAGUGCUGAAAGCAUCUAAGCAUGAAGCCCCCUCAAGAUGAGAUUUCCCAUAGCGUAAGCUAGUAAGAUCCCUGAAAGAUGAUCAGGUUGAUAGGUUCGAGGUGGAAGCAUGGUGACAUGUGGAGCUGACGAAUACUAAUAGAUCGAGGACUUAACCA